CCCUUAACUAUUAAAAGUUUCGUUUUGGUCCCUUAAUUUAUUUUUUGGUUUCGUUUUGGUCCCUUAACUUAUUUUUUGGUUUCGUUUUGGUCCCUUAACUCUAAUACAUUCAUCCUAACAUAAAGGACAAAAGUGGUUGACGGAGGAAGAGUUAAGGGACCAAAAUGAAACCAAAAAAUAAGUUAAAGGACUAAAACGAAACUUUUAAUAGUUAAGGGA
rnacentral:pre_miRNA from 1 species